rnacentral:tRNA from 1 species
AAGUCUUUAAGUUAAGAAUUAAACUAUUAGCCUUCAAAGUUAAAAAUACUUUUAAUGUAAGUCUUA